rnacentral:rRNA from 1 species
UACGAAGGGGGCUAGCGUUGUUCGGAAUUACUGGGCGUAAAGCGCGCGCAGGCGGUCUUCCAAGUCAGUGGUGAAAGCCCGGAGCUCAACUCCGGAACUGCCAUUGAAACUGUUGGACUUGAGUACGAGAGAGGUGAGUGGAAUUCCCAGUGUAGAGGUGAAAUUCGUAGAUAUUGGGAAGAACACCGGUGGCGAAGGCGGCUCACUGGCUCGUAACUGACGCUCAGGCGCGACAGCGUGGGGACAUCGAACAGGAAUCAGAACCCGACGUAGCCA